GACGAACGCUGGCGGCGUGCUUAACACAUGCAAGUCGAACGGAAAGGCCCUGCUUUUGUGGGGUGCUCGAGUGGCGAACGGGUGAGUAACACGUGAGUAACCUGCCCUUGACUUUGGGAUAACUUCAGGAAACUGGGGCUAAUACCGGAUAGGAGCUCCUGCUGCAUGGUGGGGGUUGGAAAGUUUCGGCGGUUGGGGAUGGACUCGCGGCUUAUCAGCUUGUUGGUGGGGUAGUGGCUUACCAAGGCUUUGACGGGUAGCCGGCCUGAGAGGGUGACCGGCCACAUUGGGACUGAGAUACGGCCCAGUCUCCUACGGGAGGCAGCAGUGGGGAAUAUUGUUCAAUGGGCGGAAGCCUGAUGCAGCAACGCCGCGUGCGGGAUGACGGCCUUCGGGUUAUAAACCGAUUUCGCCUGUGACGAAGCGUGAGUGACGGUAAUGGGUAAAGAAACACCGGCUAACUACGUG
rnacentral:rRNA from 1 species